UGGGGAAUAUUGGACAAUGGGGGGAACCCUGAUCCAGCCAUGCCGCGUGUGUGAAGAAGGACUUAUGGUUGUAAAGCACUUUAAGCGAGGAGGAGGGUACUGGUAUUAAUACUACCAGCUACUGGACGUUACUCGCAGAAUAAGCACCGGCUAACUCUGUGCCAGCAGCCGCGGUAAUACAGAGGGUGCGAGCGUUAAUCGGAUUUACUGGGCGUAAAGCGUGCGUAGGCGGCUAAUUGAGUCGGAUGUGAAAUCCCCGAGCUUAACUUGGGAAUUGCAUUCGAUACUGGUUAGCUAGAGUGUGGGAGAGGAUGGUAGAAUUCCAGGUGUAGCGGUGAAAUGCGUAGAGAUCUGGAGGAAUACCGAUGGCGAAGGCAGCCAUCUGGCCUAACACUGACGCUGAGGUACGAAAGCAUGGGGAGCAAACAGG
rnacentral:rRNA from 1 species